UACGUAGGAGGCGAGCGUUGUCCGGAUUUACUGGGCGUAAAGAGCGCGCAGGCGGCAUACCAAGUACGAAGUGAAAUCUCCCUGCUCAACGGGGAGGGUGCGCCGAAAACUGGAGUGCUCGAGUAUGGGAGAGGUAAGCGGAAUUCCUGGUGUAGCGGUGAAAUGCGUAGAUAUCAGGAGGAACACCUGCGGUGUAGACGGCUUACUGGACCAUGACUGACGCUGAGGCACGAAAGCGUGGGGAGCAAACAGG
rnacentral:rRNA from 1 species